rnacentral:rRNA from 1 species
UACGAAGGGGGCUAGCGUUGCUCGGAAUCACUGGGCGUAAAGGGCGCGUAGGCGGGGCCGUAAGUACCUUGUGAAAUCCCACGGCUCAACCGUGGAACUGCUGGGUAUACUGCGGGUCUUGAGCCAACUAGGGGCGAGCGGAACAGACGGUGGAGCGGUGAAAUGCGUAGAUAUCGUCUGGAACGCCGAAGGUGAAAACAGCUCGCUGGGGUUGUGCUGACGCUGAGACACGAAAGCCAGGGGAGCGAACGGG